AAUAAGAUACAUUGUCCUCAGGAAAAUAUGUGCACUCAUGGAGAACCUCAUUGAUGUUGCUGCAGAGAGGUGGUUGGAUCUAGCCAAGAAUGGUUCUCUCCUGAGUGCUCCACACAGGAAGAAGGGCCUGGUGCUUCCAGUGGGUGGAUGGACUUUUCCAUGAUGACAAUGGCAUUUCUUUCUAAACUCGUGAAGAUUAAGUUCCAAAUGAGGCAAUAAUUCAAAGCAAAGUGGAAGAGGAUAUUAUUUUCCUGAAGUGACUCUCUUGGUUAUGGUCAGACCUGAGAACCCAAAAGCCCAAGGAGCAAAC